GCCUGAGACCCCGAGCCAGAUCUCUGGGGGUGAGCAGGAGUAUGUGGUGUAGGGAGGAGGACGAGUGCGCCGCGCUUGGCUCUAGGGUCAGAGGGAGCGCGAUGAUCUAGAGAGCCUUGCCACCGCAGUUUGGGAUGAGGGGGAGUUCGGGGCCUGAGAAGGUGGGCGCGAUGCUGGAGCUGGGCAUCCUUCCUCGGAGCCCCUGGACCGAGUUGCGCUGCGCCUGCAGCAACAGGUAGCCCCGAGGGGUGGAUGGAGGCUCUGGCCGAAUCCGGAGCUGGCCUUUGUCCUGCCACUUGGAGGGCUCUCCCGAGGGACAGCGUGGGUGGGGGUAGGUGGGGAAGGGCGGGAGAGGAGAGCUUCCUAACACUUGGAGCCCCUGUGAGUGGUUCUGUGUGUUGGGGUGGAGGAGGGUGCGUCCGAGAGGAGGAAGGAUGAUGAGGCGGCUAGCCUGCGCCCCACCUCUGAUUGUGUAAGCGCCUUUCUCGGGGUUGACCCCUACCCUUUGGAUUUUGAAUUUGGGGAUGAGGAAAGACGGACGGAAACUCGAUGCCCAAGUGAAUGGUGGUUCACACUGAUUGGCAGGGAAAGUGCAAACAAAGAGGUGCAUCUCCGGGAAACGAUGAUUUUGGAGAUCCCCUGCCCACCACCGGACUUGUGCGCGGUGCGGAGGGGGCCAGGGCUGGCAUCUCCGGAGAAAGUUUCCAGCCAGGCAGUGGGAGGAGACGCUCCGGGCCAGGAAAAAGUGUCCGAGCGCCUCGCAGACUGCAGCGGGGGAAAGGUCUCUUAAAAGUGCGACCAAGUGGGGAAGAAGGUGAGUGAGGGCUGUUGUCUUGUUUACCUCUCUCCCUUCGACUCGCCCGGCUCCCCGCCCUUCGGAGGGCAGAGGACUCGCUCAGUGGCAAAGUUUGGCUGGCUGGUAAAUUGUACCCCCUUUCCCCGUUCCCUUCUCUUUUGUUCUUUAAAGAACUCGCGUAGAUUGUUUCAUUUGUUUACUUUUAAUAGGCAAAAGCCAAGCAGGGGUUUAUAUCUUGUGCUUCUUUAUAGGAGGGGUCGGGGGGAUGGGGAGGAGGGUAUCCGCAGGGUGGGGUGCGGGGGUAUUGCCUCGCUUUCUUUCAGCUGCGCUCCUGUAGGGAUGAAUAGGCAGAAAUUGAUGGGGGCAAGUUCAGCCUCGCUCCCACCCCAGCCCUGACUUUGGUCAUGCAAAAGGAAGCAGUAUGGAUGUGGGGGUCGUUUGUAUAACUUAGCUGUCUGCAGAGCGCUCUGUAGAUAUCACGCAUCAUAUAAAAACGCAGCAACAAUGGAAAGAAGAAAGGUUUGGGUUGGAGGGGGUUGGACCCUUGUGUUGGCGGUCAAGGAGGAGUUUACAACAAACAGAUAAGGGUUUGGAAAGUUUUCUUUGGGGCUGAGGUGGGGUGGAGGAAGCCACAAGUUCCAGACUGUCAGAGAUGCAGGGAUGGAGGGGAUGGGGCCUGGACCACUACUUAGAGCCAUCCAGUCCGCUCUUUGCAGUUUCACUACCCACCCGGAAUAACUCAGGCUAUCCUUGGGCUCCGUCCUCACCUCUCACUUUCCAUCACCCCCAUCCCCAACCCCAUUUCAGUGUGUUUCAAUAAAAAGCGGAACGUGAGCCCCAGAAGCUCCCCUGACC
ensembl:lncRNA